GAUGAACGCUAGCUACAGGCUUAACACAUGCAAGUCGAGGGGCAGCACAGUGUAGCAAUACAUGGGUGGCGACCGGCGCACGGGUGCGUAACGCGUAUCCAACCUUCCCGUUACUCUUGGAUAGCCUUCCGAAAGGGAGAUUAAUACAAGAUGGUGUUCAAAUUCCGCAUGUUAUUUGAACUAAAGAUUUAUCGGUAACGGAUGGGGAUGCGUGACAUUAGGUAGAUGGCGGGGUAACGGCCCACCAUGCCUACGAUGUCUAGGGGUUCUGAGAGGAAGGUGCCCCACACUGGAACUGAGACACGGUCCAGACUCCUACGGGAGGCAGCAGUGAAGAAUAUUGGUCAAUGGUCGGAAGACUGAACCAGCCAAGUAGCGUGAAGGAUGAAGGUUCUAUGGAUUGUAAACUUCUUUUAUACGGGAAUAAAACCUCCCACGUGUGGGAGCUUGUAUGUACCGUAUGAAUAAGCAUCGGCUAACUCCGUGCCAGCAGCCGCGGUAACAC
rnacentral:rRNA from 1 species